rnacentral:misc_RNA from 1 species
UAAGAAUAUAAUUAUUAAAAUUAAAAAAAAAUUACCUAUUGGUUACAAUUUUUUUACUCAUAAUAUAUAUAUAUUCACUAAUAAUUUGUCAUUUCAUAAUUUCUUGGGGGUAUUGAGCCAACAACUUUUUCGUGAAGAUCAAUUAUGACAAAAUAAGAAUAAUUGCUAGAAAUUGCAGCAAUUCACAAAAUUUCAUUUGCUUUUGCCUUUUUGGACAUGCUUUUGUCUUUGUCCUUGUGGACAUUAGUACAUGGGCAUACAUAGACACAAGGCAAAAUAAAAGUUCAGAGAGAGAGAGAGAGAGAGA